UGAGUACGAGCUGCUACGGCAGCGAAGUGGGUGACGUCAAGCUUCCAAGAAAAGCCCUACACCCGUUAAGGCAUGAUGGCCUGUACCCGAAACCGACACAGGUGGGGUGGUAGAGAAUACCGAGGGGCGCGAGGUAACUCUCUCUAAGGAACUCGGCAAAAUGGCCCCGUAACUUCGGGAGAAGGGGUGCCACCGCAAGGUGGUCGCAGUGAAGAGGCCCAGGCGACUGUUUACCAAAAACACAGGUCUCCGCUAAGUCGCAAGACGAUGUAUGGGGGCUGACGCCUGCCCAGUGCCGGAAGGUUAAGGAAGCUGGUCAGCGCAAGCGAAGCUGGCGACUGAAGCCCUGGUGAACGGCGGCCGUAACUAUAACGGUCCUAAGGUAGCGAAAUUCCUUGUCGGGUAAGUUCCGACCCGCACGAAAGGCGUAACGAUCUGGGCGCUGUCUCGGAGAGAGGCUCGGCGAAAUAGAAUUGUCUGUGAAGAUGCGGACUACGUGCACCCGGACAGAAAGACCCUAUGAAGCUUUACUGUAGCUUGGUAUUGUGCCCGGGCUCUGAAUGCGCAGGAUAGGUGGGAGGCUUUGAUCCAUUGCUUGUGGGUGAUGGUGAGCCAACGGUGAGAUACCACUCUUUCAGAGCUAGGGUUCUAACGGUCACCCGUUAUCCGGGGACCGGACAGUAUCAGGUGGGCAGUUUGACUGGGGCGGUCGCCUCCUAAAAGGUAACGGAGGCGCGCAAAGGUUCCCUCAGGCUGGUUGGAAAUCAGCCGAUGAGUGUAAAGGCAGAAGGGAGCUUGACUGUGAGACCUACAAGUCGAACAGGGACGAAAGUCGGCCUUAGUGAUCCGACGGUUCUGAGUGGAAGGGCCGUCGCUCAACGGAUAAAAGUUACUCUAAGGAUAACAGGCUGAUCUCCCCCAAGAGUUCACAUCGACGGGGAGGUUUGGCACCUCGAUGUCGGCUCAUCGCAACCUGGGGCUGAAGUCGGUCCCAAGGGUUGGGCUGUUCGCCCAUUAAAGCGAUACGCGAGCUGGGUUCAGGACGUCGUGAGACAGUUCGGUCCAUAUCCGGUGCAUGCGCAGGAAUAUUGAGAGGAUUUCUCCCUAGUACGAGAGGACCGGGAGGAACGCACCUCUGGUGUACCAGUUAUCGUGCCAACGGUAAACGCUGGGUAGCCAUGUGCGGAGUGGAUAACCGCUGAAAGCAUCUAAGUGGGAAGCCCACCUCAAGAUGAGUAUUCCCAUGGCGUUAGCCAGUAAGGUCACGGGCAGAACACCCGUUGAUAGGCUCUACGUGGAAGCCGGGUAACCGGUGAAGCGGAGGAGUACUAAUAGACCGAGGGCUUGACC
rnacentral:rRNA from 1 species